rnacentral:rRNA from 1 species
UACAGAGACCUCAAGCGUUAUCCGGAUUUAUUGGGCGUAAAGAGCAUGUAGGCGGGUUUAUUAGUCAGACGUCAAAUCUUCGAGCUUAACUCGAAAACUGCGUUUGAAACGGUAAAUCUAGAGGAAGUGAGAGAUCAAUGGAACGUAUGGUGUAGCAGUGAAAUGCGUUGAUAUCAUACGGAACACCAAAGGCGAAGGCAUUUGAUUGGCACUUUUCUGACGCUGAGAUGCGAAAGCGUGGGUAGCGAAUGGG